CCAAACAUCGUCAGAGGAACAGAAAAAUUCUAGUCCUUCCUUUGCACCAGAAGUUACCAAUGUGUGAUGCAACUGAAGGUGCCCAGGAAGGCCCAGUCCAGAAGCCAGGUAGUGGACAACAGGGAGCAUCUCCAUCCACUAAAAUGGAAACCUCAAAACAGUACAAAGCUGGUAAGUAGUCUGGAGUUCUUUUUUAAUGCAUUUUUAAAAUUAUUGUAAAGGUUAU